rnacentral:rRNA from 1 species
UGGGGAAUAUUGCACAAUGGGCGAAAGCCUGAUGCAGCGACGCCGCGUGAGGGAUGACGGCCUUCGGGUUGUAAACCUCUUUCAGCAGGGACGAAGCGAAAGUGACGGUACCUGCAGAAGAAGCACCGGCCAACUACGUGCCAGCAGCCGCGGUAAUACGUAGGGUGCAAGCGUUGUCCGGAAUUAUUGGGCGUAAAGAGCUCGUAGGCGGCCUGUUGCGUCCGCUGUGAAAGCCCGGGGCUUAACCCCGGGUCGGCAGUGGAUACGGGCAGGCUAGAGGUAGGUAGGGGAGAAUGGAAUUCCCGGUGUAGCGGUGAAAUGCGCAGAUAUCGGGAGGAACACCGGUGGCGAAGGCGGUUCUCUGGGGCCCUUACCUGACGCUGAGGAGCGAAAGCGUGGGGAGCGAACAGGAUUAGAUACC